rnacentral:tRNA from 1 species
GGGCGGCUAGCUCAGCGGGAGAGCACUGCCUUCACACGGCAGGGGUCACAGGUUCAAUCCCUGUGCCGCCCACCA